rnacentral:tRNA from 1 species
GCCUCCAUAGCUCAAUUGGAUAGAGCAGGCGCGUUCUAAGCGUCCGGUUGGGGGUUCGAGUCCCUCUGGAGGCG